AACGAACGCUGGCGGCAGGCCUAACACAUGCAAGUCGAGCGAGGACUUCGGUUCUAGCGGCGGACGGGGGAGUAACGCGGGGGAAUGUGCCCUUCUCUACGGAAUAGCCCUGGGAAACUGGGAGUAAUACCGGAUACGCCCUUUUGGGGAAAGAUUUAUCGGAGAAGGAUCAGCCCGCGUUGGAUUAGGUAGUUGGUGGGGUAAUGGCCUACCAAGCCGACGAUCCAUAGCUGGUUUGAGAGGAUGAUCAGCCACACUGGGACUGAGACACGGCCCAGACUCCUACGGGAGGCAGCAGUGGGGAAUCUUAGACAAUGGGGGCAACCCUGAUCUAGCCAUGCCGCGUGAGUGAUGAAGGCCUUAGGGUUGUAAAGCUCUUUCAGCUGGGAAGAUAAUGACGGUACCAGCAGAAGAAGCCCCGGCUAACUCCGUG
rnacentral:rRNA from 1 species